rnacentral:tRNA from 1 species
UGACCUUACCAGGAAUUGAACCCGGAUCAACUGUUUUGGAGACAGGUACAUUGCCGUUAUGCUAUAAGGUC